GCCUACAGUCCUAUAACACA
rnacentral:tRNA from 1 species